rnacentral:misc_RNA from 1 species
GAAAUGUGAUAAGUAAUGUGAAUUGCAGAAUUCAGUGAAUCAUCGAAUCUUUGAACGCACCUUGCGCUCUCUGGUAUUCCGGAGAGCAUGUCUGUUUGAGUGUCAUGAACUCUUCAACCCACCGGUUCCUUGUUGAAUUGGAUGGUGUUUGGAUUUUGAGUGUUGCUAUUUAUUUAGCUCAUUCGUAAUAUAUUAGCAUCUCAAUUUCGUAAUCGGAUUGACUCAGCGUAAUAGACUAUUCGCUGAGGACACUUAGGUGGCCGAGAAAUGAAAUAGUGGAAGCUUCAAACUCUAUUAGUCAAUUUUAGAUUAGACCUCAGAUCAGGCAGGAUUACCCGCUGAACUUAA